UGGGGAAUUUUGGACAAUGGGCGCAAGCCUGAUCCAGCCAUGCCGCGUGUCUGAAGAAGGCCUUCGGGUUGUAAAGGACUUUUGUCAGGGAAGAAAAGGCUGUUGCUAAUAUCAGCGGCUGAUGACGGUACCUGAAGAAUAAGCACCGGCUAACUACGUGCCAGCAGCCGCGGUAAUACGUAGGGUGCGAGCGUUAAUCGGAAUUACUGGGCGUAAAGCGGGCGCAGACGGUUACUUAAGCAGGAUGUGAAAUCCCCGGGCUCAACCCGGGAACUGCGUUCUGAACUGGGUGACUCGAGUGUGUCAGAGGGAGGUAGAAUUCCACGUGUAGCAGUGAAAUGCGUAGAGAUGUGGAGGAAUACCGAUGGCGAAGGCAGCCUCCUGGGACAACACUGACGUUCAUGCCCGAAAGCGUGGGUAGCAAACAGGAUUAGAUACCCUGGUAGUCCACGCCCUAAACGAUGUCAAUUAGCUGUUGGGCAACCUGAUUGCUUGGUAGCGUAGCUAACGCGUGAAAUUGACCGCCUGGGGAGUACGGUCGCAAGAUUAAAACUCAAAGGAAUUGACGGGGACCCGCACAAGCGGUGGAUGAUGUGGAUUAAUUCGAUGCAACGCGAAGAACCUUACCUGGUCUUGACAUGUACGGAAUCCUCCGGAGACGGAGGAGUGCCUUCGGGAGUCGUAACACAGGUGCUGCAUGGCUGUCGUCAGCUCGUGUCGUGAGAUGUUGGGUUAAGUCCCGCAACGAGCGCAACCCUUGUCAUUAGUUGCCAUCAUUCAGUUGGGCACUCUAAUGAGACUGCCGGUGACAAGCCGGAGGAAGGUGGGGAUGACGUCAAGUCCUCAUGGCCCUUAUGACCAG
rnacentral:rRNA from 1 species